AAAUGAACACCCUGAGAAGCUAAUGAGACAGGCAUUUGGGUGCCUCCAAUGCACCUAAGCUCCUUCCAAGACCCCAUCCCUAGCACUCACUUGCAAAGAUUUUAUAUUUUUAAAAGACCAGGGAUUGGGGCUAAAGAGGUGGCUUGGCUUCGAAGAACACUUAACACCUUUACAGAGAAUACAUAUGGCAGCUAUCACCAUAGGUAACUACAGUUCCAGGGGACCCAGUGUCCUCUUGUAUGUACAGGCAUGCACAUAGUGCACAUAUAUCCAUGCAGACAAAAUACUCGUAUCUAUUAAAUGUAUGUGAAAAACUUUUAGAAACAAGGAAAAGUACAUAGACUUUGGACACUGUAAUAUCUAUAUUUUCUUUGUGAAUAAGGUAAAAGUAGUCCCCAUUAUCUUCCCAUUAGAAGUAAUCAUAGGAUAUUUGUAAAACACAUGUUAAAUAUAUAAAUUCUAUGUUAAUUAAAAUAUACACAUAAAAACCACUAGUGGCUGUCUCAUAAGUUCUAUGUGAUACAGAAGUCAGUGAUGUCAACUGGGUUAAGUCAUGAAUAAUAGAAAAGAAAUGAAUGAGGUUUUAUUUGUAGUUUUUUUUUCUUUCCUUAUUUUUAGAGAGAAAUACAUUUGAGAUUUCAAUGGAGAUGACUCAAGAAACUUUAUUUUAUUUGAAUAUCAUUGGCUUCCUGAUGCACUCUGUGUUGGUGCUGAUAGAAUGCAGGUGAUCUCUUAUGUCCCUAAUCAUUCAAGCUGAGAAUUAGGUCAUGGCACUGUGUAAUGGCAAGGAGAUUAUAGAGAAGGUAGCAAGUCAUUUGCAUAGCUUCUGUUUACAUUAUAUAUGGAUAGAAGAAUGAUUGCCUGCAUAUGUAGUUUACCUAAAUUUCCCCACAAACAGUAUUUCAAAAGUUCAUUUUCAAUAUAUUUGACAGCUGGAAAGUGUGACCUCUAGGUAGGCCUCCGAUUGCUAAUAUUAUACUUUAAAGUAGAUGAUUUAAUAGCCAAUUUUACAAACAAUCCUUUAUUUUAUUGAAUUUUCCAAUUAUUUGGUAUCUAAAAAUAAAUGAUCUGUCCCUAUCAUGUCACGUAACUGGUGCAAAUGCACAUGUUAUGGGCACAUAGGAAGCUCACCUGUUCAUUUUAUGAGGCCAUGUCCUUCUUUAUCAACUUAUGAUGACACUGUUGCUUGUUUCUUUCCUUUAUCAUUUCUGUUCUAUUUACAUAAAAUAACAGUUCGCUCUAUCUCAGUUUUCGAUAUUAAUGCCUUCAAGAUGGUAGCUAUAGAAAGACUCACUUCCUAAGAUUUUUCUUAGUGAAAAGAUCUGUUCCUCCCUUCUCUUCCUUAUUUCCAGUUGACUUGAAAUGCAGAGGAGGGUGGUUUCAGCCUGCAGACAACUCCCUGCUACUUGGUGUGUGUAUUUCAGUCUGUUUCGAUCAGAGGUUCUUUUGUGGUGUCAGUCCCCACCUGCACAAUUUUAUAGGCAAUACUUUCAAAGACCCAGUUACUCAUUAUGCAUCUGAGAGCCAUGUGGCUGGCAGAGGCAAUUCAAAAGGAAGCACACUUCCCCCCUCCCCCGCCCCCAACACACACUCGCAUACACACUACAGAUUUUUAGAGUGAAUAGAUUACUGUUUAGAGGACCUGCUUGCUAUGUCCUUACUACCUCUUGAUGAAGCCACUAAAAGCAGUGUUGAAGGCAGGGGAGAGAAAGCGAAGACUAAUGCUCAGUUAUCUCUUUCACAGCGAUAACUGGGUUCUGAGCACUUUGUGUGAUGGGGUUUUCACAGCAUCUUGUGGGAAAAUGUGUUAGGUCUUUGGAUGGAUAAGUGGGUUGCUUGUGGUCACACCUUACUCUUACUAAUGACCCUUAAUAACCAUAGACUCAGAUCUACAGUCAUAUCCUACCAGGAGACAAGACACUGCAGGUUCCUACUUGUAAAAUUGGAAGGAUCUUGUUUCAAAGAAUUUAGGAAUUAUUCUAUGCCUAUAAUCUCUCUGUCACUCUACUUACUAAAUAAUAUAAUGUUAUCUUAGAGUAGAAGAGUACUUUGAGUAAAUAAAAGAAAAACAUUAUUUGUAAUGAAUGAAAGUUUAUAGCAGGAAAAUUUACAUUAAAUAGCUUAGUAUUCUAAUGAUUUCAGAUACUAGUCCCUAGCAUUUUUUUUUAAUCUAAGACCAAAACAUUCUGUGUCAUAAUACCUAUAUUUUUCUAUAUGUCUGGAUGUAUAUCACAGCGACUACUUCACAAGCCACCAAAAUUCUUUUAUGAUUCUGAGCAACCUAACCACUUCUUGGAGAAACUUGUCAGACAAUAGUUUUAUCUGAGAAUUUCAUUACUGCUGCUGUAGAAAAAAAAAUGCAACCAAAAUUUUAACUAGGUUCUUCUUGGUAUUAUGUUUGUUCAGAGAGUUUUGCCCUUAGGAAGCUUCUAGAAUCAGCAGCAACCAGAGUAUAUACUUUACUUCAAAGCUUGCAUAUUUUAGACACAGGCAUGGACCCUGAAUUUCUGUUUCUGUUAGUGCGUUUCAGUACAAUGGUAAUGAGGGUCAGUAGUUUUCAACAAGUGGGAAUUUUGCAACGAUAAGUAUCCGGUAUGUUUUCUAUUUGGGCUGUACAAGAUAAAACAAAACAAAACAAAACAAAACAAAACAAAACAAAACAAAACAAACGAGGUAGUUAAAUGUCUCACUAAUGCUGUGCAGGAUGCUGGGAGAACUUGAUUUGUCUUCCCUCUCUGGUAAGACUUGAACCCUGAAUUUCAUAGCAUGUAAUUCUUACUGUGUAGUGAGAAUUACAUGGUAGUCAUGCACUGGGAAAGGAAGAUUUUAGUUAUUAAUUCAGAACUCAGUCCAAUCAAUCAUCUUUAUUUUAACAUAUCUGUAUGUACUUCAUUAAAAUGUGAGUUUGUAAGUUUUAUCUAAAUAUUUAGCCUACUAAUGUUUUUGCUUUUUACAUCUACGAGUAGAAAAAUUCAUAGGUGUGCUGGUAUGUUGAUAGUAAUGUAUCAGGAGCUUUAUGUAAAUGUACUUAGCUUUGCUUACAUUCUUCUGCAAGCAUCAUUAACUGGUUCUGGUGGAAUCACUUUAGCCCAGUGGUAGUCAGUUUAAUCUUAUGACUACCUUCACAACUGUCCUUUGAUCUGUGCUCCAGAUAUAUUUUACAAACUUGCUAAGCUCUGUGUUGGAUCUAGACUGUGUUUCUGAUGACCUUAGAACAUUCUCCAUGUAGGAGCAUGGCACCUUUGUUCUGGUGAUCUCGAUACAGGAUUGGAAACACACUGCCUAGACAAAAAUGGUACCCUGUGUUCUCUGCGUUCCUCACGUCUGGCUAAGUUCUUUACCAUGGCAUUGCGAUGUUGAACCUUGGGGAAGGUGAUGGCUGUAUUUUGU
rnacentral:lncRNA from 1 species